rnacentral:rRNA from 1 species
GCUGGCGGCAGGCCUAACACAUGCAAGUCGAACGGAGUUAUAUUGUAGCUUGCUAUGGUAUAACUUAGUGGCAGACGGGUGAGUAAUGUAUAGGAAUCUACCUAGUAGUACGGAAUAAUUGUUGGAAACGGCAACUAAUACCGUAUACGCCCUACGGGGGAAAAAUUUAUUGCUAUUAGAUGAGCCUAUAUUAGAUUAGCUAGUUGGUGGAGUAAUAGCCUACCAAGGCAAUGAUCUAUAGCUGAUCUGAGAGGAUGAUCAGCCACACUGGAACUGAGAUACGGUCCAGACUCCUACGGGAGGCAGCAGUGGGGAAUAUUGGACAAUGGGCGAAAGCCUGAUCCAGCCAUGCCGCAUGAGUGAAGAAGGCCUUUGGGUUGUAAAGCUCUUUUAGUGAGGAAGAUAAUGACGGUACUCACAGAAGAAGUCCUGGCUAACUCCGUGCCAGCAGCCGCGGUAAUACGGAGAGGGCUAGCGUUAUUCGGAAUUAUUGGGCGUAAAGGGCGCGUAGGCGGAUUAGUAAGUUAAAAGUGAAAUCCCAAGGCUCAACCUUGGAAUUGCUUUUAAAACUGCUAAUCUAGAGAUUGAAAGAGGAUAGAGGAAUUCCUAGUGUAGAGGUGAAAUUCGUAAAUAUUAGGAGGAACACCAGUGGCGAAGGCGUCUAUCUGGUUCAAAUCUGACGCUGAGGCGCGAAGGCGUGGGGAGCAAACAGGAUUAGAUACCCUGGUAGUCCACGCUGUAAACGAUGAAUGUUAAAUAUGGGAAGUUUUACUUUCUGUAUUACAGC